GACGAACGCUGGCGGCGUGCCUAACACAUGCAAGUCGAACGGAGAUAUGAUUUCGGUUGUAUCUUAGUGGCGAACGGGUGAGUAACGCGUGAGCAACCUGACCUUCAGAGGGGGAUAACACCUGGAAACAAGUGCUAAUACCGCAUAAGACCACGACCCGACAUCGGGAUGAGGUCAAAGGAGCAAUCCGCUGAGGGAGGGGCUCGCGUCCCAUUAGAUAGAUGGCGGGGUAACGGCCCACCAUGUCGACGAUGGGUAGCCGAGCUGAGAGGGGGAUCGGCCACACUGGAACUGAGACACGGUCCAGACUCCUACGGGAGGCAGCAGUGGGGAAUAUUGGGCAAUGGGCGAAAGCCUGACCCAGCAACGCCGCGUGAGGGAAGAAGGCCUUCGGGUUGUAAACCUCUGUCCUAGGUGACGAAACAAAUGACGGUAGCCAAGGAGGAAGCCCCGGCUAACUACGUGCCAGCCGCCGCGGUAAUAC
rnacentral:rRNA from 1 species